UGGGGAAUAUUGGACAAUGGGGGAAACCCUGAUCCAGCGACGCCGCGUGAGUGAAGAAGUAUUUCGGUAUGUAAAGCUCUAUCAGCAGGGAAGAAAAUGACGGUACCUGACUAAGAAGCCCCGGCUAACUACGUGCCAGCAGCCGCGGUAAUACGUAGGGGGCAAGCGUUAUCCGGAUUUACUGGGUGUAAAGGGAGCGCAGACGGCCAAGCAAGUCUGAAGUGAAAUGCAUGGGCUCAACCCAUGAAUUGCUUUGGAAACUGUUUGGCUUGAGUGUCGGAGGGGUAAGCGGAAUUCCUAGUGUAGCGGUGAAAUGCGUAGAUAUUAGGAGGAACACCGGAGGCGAAGGCGGCUUACUGGACGACAACUGACGUUGAGGCUCGAAGGCGUGGGGAGCAAACAGGAUUAGAUACCCUGGUAGUCCACGCAGUAAACGAUGAAUACUUGGUGUCGGGGAGGUAAACUCUUCGGUGCCGCAAGCAAACGCAUUAAGUAUUCCACCUGGGGAGUACGUUCGCAAGAAUG
rnacentral:rRNA from 1 species